rnacentral:pre_miRNA from 1 species
CGGGGUAGGGCGGAUCCUGGGCUGUGUCCCGGCGCCCUGUGCUCCGGGGUCUGCGCUGGUGGAUUCACGCUCCCGCCCCGCAGCCCCCU